UAGUAGGACUGUGGUUAUGAUUUCGGCGCACAGGAUAUCAACGACAAUUUGUCCAUUGUGUUUCCCACAAUUUGGGGCCAUCUACUCACUACAAGACAAACGCAUAACUGAUGUUAUUGCUAUUGUUGCCUAUGUUAGUAAGAUACAAACUCUAUGGGAUCCAAUAUAUGAUAGACAUGUCCCUUUGCUCGAAAUUGGCCUCAUGAACUUUCGACGUCAGAUAAUUUUCCUACGCAUAUAUGACGAGCACGUUGGCCGUCAAUUUUACCAUUUGCGACGCA